rnacentral:rRNA from 1 species
GACGAACGCUGGCGGCGUGCCUAAUACAUGCAAGUCGAACGCACUCUCGUUUAGAUUGAAGGAGUUUGCUCCUGAUUGAUAAACAUUUGAGUGAGUGGCUGACGGGUGAGUAACACGUGGGUAACCUGCCCUAAAGUGGGGGAUAACAUUUGGAAACAGAUGCUAAUACCGCAUAAAACCUAACACCGCAUGGUGUAGGGUUGAAAGAUGGUUUCGGCUAUCACUUUAGGAUGGACCCGCGGUGCAUUAGUUAGUUGGUGAGGUAAAGGCUCACCAAGACCGUGAUGCAUAGCCGACCUGAGAGGGUAAUCGGCCACACUGGGACUGAGACACGGCCCAGACUCCUACGGGAGGCAGCAGUAGGGAAUCUUCCACAAUGGACGAAAGUCUGAUGGAGAAACGCCGCGUGAGUGAAGAAGGUUUUCGGAUCGUAAAACUCUGUUGUUGGAGAAGAAUGUAUCUGAUAGUAACUGAUCAGGUAGUGACGGUAUCCAACCAGAAAGCCACGGCUAACUACGUG